GUUCCAGUAGCGCAAUGGCUAACGCGUUGGACUUCUAAUCCAAAGGUUGUGGAUUGGAAUAGCACCUGGAAAG